rnacentral:rRNA from 1 species
UCCAGACUCCUACGGGAGGCAGCAGUGGGGAAUAUUGGGCCAUGGGCGCAAUCCUGCCCCAGCAAUGCCGCGUGAAGGACGACGGCCCUCGGGUUUUCCCCUUCUUUUAUCCUUGACGAAGGCUGUGCCGGUACCUUCUUCCUAAGCUCCUUCUCCCUACGUGCCCUCCUCCGCGGUCCUCCUUAGGGAGCCCUCGUUAUCCGGAUUUCCUGGGUGUAAAGGGCGCGUAGGCGGGAUGGCAAGUCAGAUGUGAAAUCCAGGGGCGCAACCCCUGAACUGCAUUUGAAACUGUCGUUCUUGAGUACUGGAGAGGGGGACGGAAUUCCGAGUGUAGCGGUGAAAUGCGUAGAGAGGAGGAGGAACACCAGUGGCGAAGGCGGUCAACUGGACAGCAACUGACGCUGAGGCGCGAAAGCGUGGUGAGCAAACAGGAUUAGAUACCCUGGUAA